rnacentral:lncRNA from 1 species
GGAUUCGCUGGAUGGCGUAGUCGAUGGUUCCGGCGGCGCCUCCUCUUUGUGUAUAACUAUCUUCUCUUUCCACACCUGACUCGAUGCUACGGUCUCCUCAGGACAGUUCUGUUCAAGCUGUAAGUCUUCAGACCUUACCACUUCUCCUUCGUAGUCUACCCAUCUGUCCUUGAUGAUUUGCCUCCUCUGGUUUCGGUUGCGUCGCCUUCUUCAGAGGAAAGUGCAUGUGGACUUCUCCGGUUCCAAUAUAGAUGAUGGCUUUGAUAGUGUUGAGGAACGGUCUUCCAAGGAUGGUGGGUGGAUCAUACUCGUCUUCUCCCAUGUCAAUGACCUGAAAAUCAUCUGGAGCUGAAUAUAUAUUGGUUGUAGGGGCAUGGUUCCAUGCAGGAGCUGAUAAGUGACUACGGCCAUUAUGUUGACGUCAGAUCCGGUGUCGU